GGGUUACACUGUCUCCUUUUUCUNUCAGUGAAACUAAUCNUCCCGUGANGAAGCGGGAAUAUCCCCAUAAGACGAGAAGACCCCANGGAGCUUCAAACCCANUUACACCCCUAACCCCUAUAACUACUUAANCCNUANGAUUCNGUAUUAUUGGUUUUAGGUUGGGGCGACCACGGAGUACNACAAAACCUCCACAANGAACGGAACUACUUCCNCAUCUGAGAGCUACAUCUCUAANAAUUAAAAUAUUAACAUAAAAUGAUCCAUUUUUGAUCAANGAACCAAGUUACCCUGGGGAUAACAGCGCANNCCAUUUCAAGAGCCCCUAUCNACAAAUGGG
rnacentral:rRNA from 1 species